AGAUGCGAUCAUAACAACACUAAUGCACCAGAUCCCAUCAAAAGUCCGCAGUUAAGUGUGCUUGGGCGAGAGUAGUACUAGGAUGGGUGACAUCUAAGGAAGUUCUUGUGUUACCCCCC
rfam:Beta vulgaris subsp. vulgaris Bvchr4_un.sca029.con0005.1, whole genome shotgun sequence.